AAAGCAGGUCUGCAAUUGCAGCACUUCAUUACAGUAAAGUGCUGUCAUUAAGCCUGCUGAGAGCAUCUUUAUGCUAUAGAGCUUGUACUCCUCAUCACUGUGCUGGUGAUGAGGACGCUCUGUAGCUGAACAUCA